ACGGGCCAAAGAGGGGGACCUUCGGGCCUCUCGCGUCAAGAUAUGCCUAGGUGGGAUUAGCUAGUUGGUGAGGUAAUGGCUCACCAAGGCGACGAUCCCUAGCUGGUCUGAGAGGAUGAUCAGCCACACUGGAACUGAGACACGGUCCAGACUCCUACGGGAGGCAGCAGUGGGGAAUAUUGCACAAUGGGCGAAAGCCUGAUGCAGCCAUGCCGCGUGUAUGAAGAAGGCCUUCGGGUUGUAAAGUACUUUCAGUUGUGAGGAAGGGGGUGUCGUUAAUAGCGGCAUCUCUUGACGUUAGCAACAGAAGAAGCACCGGCUAACUCCGUGCCAGCAGCCGCGGUAAUACGGAGGGUGCGAGCGUUAAUCGGAAUUACUGGGCGUAAAGCGCAUGCAGGUGGUUCAUUAAGUCAGAUGUGAAAGCCCGGGGCUCAACCUCGGAACUGCA
rnacentral:rRNA from 1 species